rnacentral:rRNA from 1 species
UACGUAGGGUGCAAGCGUUUGUCCGGAAUUAUUGGGCGUAAAGAGCUCGUAGGCGGUCUGUCGCGUCUGCUGUGAAAACCUAGGGCUUAACUCUGGGCGUGCAGUGGGUACGGGCAGGCUAGAGUGCGGUAGGGGAGACUGGAAUUCCUGGUGUAGCGGUGAAAUGCGCAGAUAUCAGGAGGAACACCGGUGGCGAAGGCGGGUCUCUGGGGCCACUACUGACGCUGAGAAGCGAAAGCAUGGGGGAGCGAAACAGG